UAUCCAUGGUAAUAACACAUACUCAACAACUCCUUAAACCUCUCCCAAGCCUGAUAUAAAGUCUCAUUAUCCUUUUGUGCAAAGGUGGAGAUCUGUCUUUUCAAAGC